rnacentral:lncRNA from 1 species
UGCAUUCUGACAACUCAUCUACUUUUCUAUCAUUAAGCAUUUUUUAUGUGUCACUGAUAUAAUAAAGAAAAUAAGAAUUGUGAAAACAUAGAGAUCAAGUUGAAUGUAUUCAAAUAUCAACUUGAUCACUGCAUAGACCAGUUGCUUAUUCAUUAAUAUAAGUUCUUAAUCAUUUCUCUGCUAAAACACAUUGCUUAACCAACUAGACUUCAACAUAUUUUAUACGACAUACCAUCAACCACUCUAAUGAAGUAAAUGAGAAACAAAGAGGAUAGAUAUAAAAGAGCACAUACAAGAUGCUUAAGGUAUAUAGGAUGGAUUAUUAUCAUCGAGGUCAAACUCCACUUUGGCUCCCACACAACAAUAUCAACAUCGUUCCCAACCGUGAUGGCACCUGCAUAUGUUGAUAAUUGCAGUAAACUCCUUCAUCCACAAGCAAACAAUCUUUUUACCUAAUGAUAAAAUUUUACUAAGACAGAGCUAUACAUAAAUAAAGGAUAAUUUUUUAUACUAUUAUUAGUAUUAAUCAAGAUGAUAAAAUCUUCAUUUGCUAAAUGUUUCUAUAUUUUUUAGCUGAUCAAUCAUUUGAAAAUUAGGGUUAAUUACAAUUGAAUCUUAUAUUUGUCUAAAACCUAAUCUAUUAAAAUCAGCCUAAUUCUGAGGUAAUACACAAUAUUUUCUCUGUAUGAGCUAUGACUAUCGGAACAAAUUCACCAUCAAAUUCUCAAAACAUGUAAAGAUUUAUAUUUUGAAAAUAAUAUACAUAAGGUAAAUGUAGGGCAGAAAUGUGGAGAAAAGAAUAUUGAAGAGCGAAGCUUAGAGUACAAUGUCAUCUCGUUGAAUCUGAACUUUCUGGAACUGUGAGGAGUUAAAGUCCGCCAUUGAAAAGAGCUUUAAUCCGCUUAGAACCAGAUAGAGGAACGAUAGUCCGAACGAAGUUGGAAGAAGCGGACAUGGCGAUAAGGGUUUUAGUUGUGAAGAUUCUAGAAAACAGUCCCAAAUCGCCCAAAUUGCUUAAAUCGCAAAAAUUGUAUAUACCUAGUAAUUGUGCGUGCGGCGAAGACAAAAAUGAAGAGGGAGAAGAGUUUAGUAGACGCCGCCGGUAAGAGAUGCAAGAUAGUACCACCGGUGAAUAGGUCGGGGAAGAGGGAGAGGGGAAAAUUAAGUGCCCUGAAAUUUGGAAGAAGAGGUAUAAAAUUGAGUCAGUCGAUAACGAGUACC